UACGAAGGGGGCAAGCGUUGUUCGGAAUAACUGGGCGUAAAGGGCGUGUAGGCGGUCGAUCAAGUUAGGGGUGAAAGCCCGGGGCUCAACCUCGGAACUGCCCUUAAAACUGAUUGACUAGAAUCCCGGAGGGGAGUGUGGAAUUCCUAGUGUAGAGGUGAAAUUCGUAGAUAUUAGGAGGAACACCGGUGGCGAAGGCGACACUCUGGACGGGCAUUGACGCUGAGGCGCGAAAGUGUGGGGAGCAAACAGG
rnacentral:rRNA from 1 species